GAAUAUCGCUUGCACUGUGUUGACUGUGGCUAGGCGUUUGAUUAAUAGCUGUUAACCAAUUAUAUUCAUAAAUUCAAUACAAUUUACAUAAGCUAUCGCUAUGGUUUCGAAAAGGAUGGGUUGCAAGCAAAUAUUCUUAAAGUAUAUAAAAUGUAGGCAUUAAUUAUAUUCUUUUAUUUUAUCUAAUAUAGAAUAGGUUUUUUGUGAUCUUAUUUGACGGUGAUAAUUAAACAAGUAUUUUAUUAAUCCUGCAUAUGCAAACUCUCCUCAUCCAUUUCCAAUUUGAGCUGAAGGGCGGGGUCGUGCUGCAUUUGCUGCUUCAACUGAUACUUUUCCAAAGUACGCUUGUGUACCCCGGUUCGCCUAUGUGUGCUGAGAUGAGUGGGAAGCAUGAAAGAUUUAUCGCAGAGCUCGCAUCUGAAAGCAGAAGAAAUUUCUUUUAAAUAAAGUCUUUUAUGCGAUUUA